rnacentral:lncRNA from 1 species
AAAAAAAAAAAUUAUGUGGUUUUCAAAAAGAAGUAAGAUCAAAACAUUUUUCUUUCAAUAAGGCUCAAAGGGGCUAGCAAGGGAUUAUAAUAUUCAAGGGUAGGCUUCAAAGGCUCAAGCUCACAAAAACGUGCCUCGGUGCAUUAUUCAACGCAAUCAAUCAAUCAAGAGAAUUCAAGCAAGUUCUAGAGAAUAGGAGAGACGUGGAACUCACAUAGUCAAGAAAGAAAUCCAAGUGUUUAGGCUCAAGACCUCACAGUUAGGAUAACAGAGAAGAAUUAGAGCCAUUAGGAAUCAUGUCAAACAAACAGAAAUCGUUUCCUCAAAAAUCAUCAGCAAACUAAUAUAACCAAAGAACAAUCAAUAAUGUAAGUUGACAGUUACUACUUAGAUGGAGAAAAAAAACUAACAAGCACAUUCUAGUUAAAUGCUCAAAAUCAAGUCACACAUAAAAUAUUAACUCAAACAGAUAAGGAUAGAGUAGUGACAAAUUCAUUCAACAGUGCUUNNNNNNNNNNNNNNNNNNNNNNNNNNNNNNNNNNNNNNNNNNNNNNNNAAAAAUUAAAAAGAAAAUUAAAGACCGAGUUACCUAUCAUGGGUUGCCUCCCAAGAAGCGCUUCUUUAACGUCAUUAGCUUGACGCCUUAACCACUGUUAGGGUGGCAUAAAUGAUAGCAAGAACACGUCAUCCUUCUUUUUCCGCUUGUUGGUUAAGAAUUCCAUGAACUUAGCAUAGAGAAGCAAAUGUUCCCAUCUUUCAACAACUAAGCUUUUGGAACAAGCACUCUCCCACCUUGGAGAAGAAUGAGAUUUCUUUUGCAAGAGAUUUUUCUCUUUAGACUCCAUUGGUUGAGACUCAAACGUUACAUAGAGAUCAACAUGAUUUACUCUUCUCAUUUCAUUCUUCUUGUUUUUCAAUUUUUCUUCUUCUCCAAUAACAUGAUGUUUCAUCUCCAUCUCAACCAACUUCUCACACUCAUUUGCCUUUUCAACAAGAUUACCACAUUCAACUUCAAAUCCAUCAAAUGAACCUUGAUUUGACCUCAAAAAUUCAUCCAAAAUCUUUUUGAGUUGAAAGUUGUAAUCAAUGUUGAUCAGUUCGCGCUCUUUUUCAUUCAAACAAUACUCUUCAAAAUAGUCAUUGUGAUGAUUCGGUCCACAAAAAUCACUUCUCGCCUUCAAUCUCGAAAUAUGUGCAUCCAAUCUCUCUUGUGCAUAAGAUAGUAAANNN